rnacentral:rRNA from 1 species
GAUAGCCAUGCAUGUCUCAGUGCAAGCCGUAUUAAGGCGAUACCGCGAAUGGCUCAAUAUAUCAGUUUUGGUUCCUUAGAUCUUACUCAGUUACUUGGAUAACUGUGGUAAUUCUAGAGCUAAUACAUGCAAUCAGAACUCUGACCAGUGAUGGGAUGAGUGCUUUUAUUAGAUCAAAACCAAUCGACGGAGGGCCUCGCGUCCGAAGUCGUUAAUUUUGAUGAAUCUGGAUAACUUUUGCCGAUCGCACGGUCCAGUACCGGCGACGCAUCUUUCAAAUGUCUGCCUUAUCAACUUUCGAUGGUAGUUUCUGCGACUACCAUGGUUGUCACGGGUAACGGGGAAUCAGGGUUCGAUUCCGGAGAGGGAGCCUGAGAAACGGCUACCACAUCCAAGGAAGGCAGCAGGCGCGCAAAUUACCCACUCCCGGCACGGGGAGGUAGUGACGAAAAAUAACGAUACGGGACUCUUACGAGGCCUCGUAAUCGGAAUGAGUACACUUUAAAUAUUUUAACGAGGAACAAUUGGAGGGCAAGUCUGGUGCCAGCAGCCGCGGUAAUUCCAGCUCCAAUAGCGUAUACUAAAAUUGUUGCGGUUAAAAAGCUCGUAGUUGCAUUUGUGCGCCGCGCUGUCGGUGCACCGCAUCCGCGGUGAUACUGACACGUUUGCGGAGCAUAUCGUCGGUGAGCCGGCGGUAAAACGCCGGUUCAAUAUCAAAAUCCUAUCGCGGUGCUCUUCAGUGAGUGUCGAGGUGGGCCGACAAUUUUACUUUGAACAAAUUAGAGUGCUCAAAGCGGGCUCAAAAUGCUGCUUGAAUAUUUCGUGCAUGGAAUAAUAGAAUAUGAUCUCGGUUCUAUUUUGUUGGUUUUCAGAACUCCGAGGUAAUGAUUAAUAGGGAUAACUGGGGGCAUUCGUAUUGCGACGUUAGAGGUGAAAUUCUUGGAUCGUCGCAAGACGAACAUCAGCGAAAGCAUUUGCCAAAGGUGUUUUCAUCAAUCAAGAACGAAAGUUAGAGGGUU